GAUGAACGCUGGCGGCGUGCCUAAUACAUGCAAGUCGAGCGGACGGACGAGCAGCUUGCUGCUCUGAUGUUAGCGGCGAGCGGGGAAGUAACACGUGGAUAACCUACCUAUAGGACUGGGAUAACGUCGAGGAACCGUAGCUAGUACCGGAUAAUAGUUUGAACCGCAUGGUUCAAACGGGAAAGACGGUCGUGCUGUCACUUAUAGGUGGAUCCGCGCUGCAUUAGCUAGUUGGUAAGGUAACGGCGUACCAAGGCAACGAUGAAUAGCCGACCUGAGAGGGUGAUCGUCCACACUGGAACUGAGACACGGUCCAGACCCCUACGGGUGGCAGCAGUAGCGAAUCUUCCGCUAUGGGCGAAAGCCUGACGGAGCAACGCCGCGUGCGUGAUGAAGGUCUUCGGAUCGUAAAACUCUGUUAUUAGGGAAGAACAUAUGUGUAAGUAACUGUGCACAUCUUGACGGUACCUAAUCAGAAAGCCACGGCUAACUACGUG
rnacentral:rRNA from 1 species